UGGGGAAUAUUGGACAAUGGGCGCAAGCCUGAUCCAGCCAUGCCGCGUGUGUGAAGAAGGCCUUUUGGUUGUAAAGCACUUUAAGCGAGGAGGAGGCUACUUGGAUUAAUACUCUAAGAUAGUGGACGUUACUCGCAGACUAAGCACCGGCUAACUCUGUGCCAGCAGCCGCGGUAAUACAGAGGGUGCGAGCGUUAAUCGGAUUUACUGGGCGUAAAGCGUGCGUAGGCGGCUUCUUAAGUCGGAUGUGAAAUCCCUGAGCUUAACUUAGGAAUUGCAUUCGAUACUGGGAAGCUAGAGUAUGGGAGAGGAUGGUAGAAUUCCAGGUGUAGCGGUGAAAUGCGUAGAGAUCUGGAGGAAUACCGAUGGCGAAGGCAGCCAUCUGGCCUAAUACUGACGCUGAGGUACGAAAGCAUGGGGAGCAAACAGG
rnacentral:rRNA from 1 species